rnacentral:tRNA from 1 species
GCCCGUUUAGCUCAGUGGUAGAGCGCACCACUUGUAAUGGUGAGGUCGGUUGUUCAACCCAGCCAACGGGCA